CGAUAACGGCGUCGAGCGGCGGACGGGUGAGUAAUGCCUAGGAAAUUGCCCUGAUGUGGGGGAUAACCAUUGGAAACGAUGGCUAAUACCGCAUGAUGCCUACGGGCCAAAGAGGGGGACCUUCGGGCCUCUCGCGUCAGGAUAUGCCUAGGUGGGAUUAGCUAGUUGGUGAGGUAAGGGCUCACCAAGGCGACGAUCCCUAGCUGGUCUGAGAGGAUGAUCAGCCACACUGGAACUGAGACACGGUCCAGACUCCUACGGGAGGCAGCAGUGGGGAAUAUUGCACAAUGGGCGCAAGCCUGAUGCAGCCAUGCCGCGUGUGUGAAGAAGGCCUUCGGGUUGUAAAGCACUUUCAGUCGUGAGGAAGGCGGCGUCGUUAAUAGCGGCGUUGUUUGACGUUAGCGACAGAAGAAGCACCGGCUAACUCCGUGCCAGCAGCCGCGGUAAUACGGAGGGUGCGAGCGUUAAUCGGAAUUACUGGGCGUAAAGCGCAUGCAGGUGGUUUGUUAAGUCAGAUGUGAAAGCCCGGGGCUCAACCUCGGAAUAGCAUUUGAAACUGGCAGACUAGAGUACUGUAGAGGGGGGUAGAAUUUCA
rnacentral:rRNA from 1 species